rnacentral:rRNA from 1 species
UACGUAGGGUGCAAGCGUUUAAUCGGAAUUACUGGGCGUAAAGCGUGCGCAGGCGGUUGUGCAAGACAGAUGUGAAAUCCCCGGGCUCAACCUGGGAAUUGCAUUUUGUGACUGCACGGCUAGAGUGUGUCAGAGGGGGGUAGAAUUCCACGUGUAGCAGUGAAAAUGCGUAGAGAUGUGGAGGAAUACCGAUGGCGAAGGCAGCCCCCCUGGGAUAACACUGACGCUCAUGCACGAAAAGCGUGGGGGAGCAAACAGG